GACGAACGCUGGCGGCGUGCUUAACACAUGCAAGUCGAACGGUGAAGCGCCUUCCUUUUUGGUGGGUGUGGAUGAGUGGCGAACGGGUGAGUAACACGUGAGUAACCUGCCCCCUUCUUCUGGAUAACCGCAUGAAAGUGUGGCUAAUACGGGAUAUUCUGGGUCUGUCGCAUGAUGGGUCUGGGAAAGAUAUUGUUUCGGUGGGGGAUGGGCUCGCGGCCUAUCAGCUUGUUGGUGGGGUGAUGGCCUACCAAGGCGGUGACGGGUAGCCGGCCUGAGAGGUUGGACGGUCACGCGGGGGCGGUGACACGGCCCGGGCUCCAACGGGAGGCAGCGGGGGGGAAUGUUGGACAGUGGGCGCAAGCCUGAUGCAGCGACGCCGCGUGAGGGAUGGAGGCCUUCGGUUUGUGAACCUCUUUCGCUAGUGAAGCAGGCCUGCCUGGUUUGUGGGUGGGUUGACGGUAGCUGGAUAAGAAGCGCCGGCUAACUACGUG
rnacentral:rRNA from 1 species